rnacentral:rRNA from 1 species
UACGGGGGGGGCAAGCGUUGUUCGGAAUUACUGGGCGUAAAGGGCUCGUAGGUGGCCAACUAAGUCAGACGUGAAAUCCCUCAGCUUAACUGGGGAACUGCGUCUGAGACUGGAUGGCUCGAGGUGCAGGAGGAGGAACGCGGAAUUCCUGGUGUAGCGGUGAAAUGCGCAGAUAUCAGGAGGAACACCGGUGGCGAAGGCGGUUCUCUGGGCAUUACCUGACGCUGAGGAGCGAAAGUGUGGGGAGCGAACAGG